rnacentral:rRNA from 1 species
AGUGAACGCUGGCGGUAGGCCUAACACAGGCAAUUGGAACGGAAGCACAGUAAGAGCUGGCUUUAAGGGGUGCGAAGGGGGGGACGGGGGGGGAAAACAUCGGAACUUCCUUUUCGGGGGGGGUUAAGGUGGGGAACCUACGGUUAUUACGGAUAAGGACUAAGGGUGGAAACAAGGGGAUCUUCGAACCUGCCGGGAUUAAUUAGGCGGAUGUCGGAUUAGCUAGUUGGCGGGGUAAAGGCCAACCAAGGCGACGAUCCGUAGCUGGUCUGAGAGGAUGAUCAGCCACACUGGAACUGAGACACGGUCCAGACUCCUACGGGAGGCAGCAGUGGGGAAUAUUGGACAAUGGGCGCAAGCCUGAUCCAGCCAUACCGCGUGGGUGAAGAAGGCCUUCGGGUUGUAAAGCCCUUUUGUUGGGAAAGAAAAGCAGCAGGUUAAUACCCCGCUGUUCUGACGGUACCCAAAGAAUAAGCACCGGCUAACUUCGUG